rnacentral:rRNA from 1 species
GCGAGUGAAGAGGGAAGAGCUCAAAUUUGAAAUCUGGCGGUCUCAGGCCGUCCGAGUUGUAAUCUAGAGAGGUGUUUUCCGUGCCGGACCGUGUACAAGUCCCUUGGAACAGGGCGUCAUAGAGGGUGAGAAUCCCGUCCAUGACACGGACUCCCGGUGCUCUGUGAUACACCUUCGAAGAGUCGAGUUGUUUGGGAAUGCAGCUCAAAACGGGUGGUAAAUUCCAUCUAAAGCUAAAUACAGGCGAGAGACCGAUAGCGAACAAGUACCGUGAGGGAAAGAUGAAAAGAACUUUGGAAAGAGAGUUAAACAGUACGUGAAAUUGUUGAAAGGGAAACGCUUGAAGUCAGUCGCGUCUGCCAGGACUCAGCCUUGCUUCUGCUUGGUGCACUUCCUGGUGGAUGGGCCAGCAUCGAUUUUGGCCGCCGGAAAAGGGCGGGAGGAAUGUGGCAGCUUGCUGUGUUAUAGCCUCCUGUCGUACACGGUGGUUGGGAUCGAGGAAUGCAGCACGCCUUUUGGUCGGGGUUCGCCCACGCCACGUGCUUAGGAUGCUGGCGUAAUGGCUUUAAACGACCCGUCUUGAAACACGGACCAAGGAGUCUAACAUGCCUGCGAGUGUUUGGGUGUCAAACCCAGGCGCGUAAUGAAAGUGAAAAGUUGGGACUCUUUAGUGAGGCACCGACGCCCGAUCCUGACGUUUUCUGACGGAUUUGAGGCAGAGCAUGUAUGUUGGGACCCGAAAGAUGGUGAACUAUGCCUGAAUAGGGUGAAGCCAGAGGAAACUCUGG